AUUGAACGCUGGCGGCAGGCCUAACACAUGCAAGUCGAGCGGAUGACGGGAGCUUGCUCCUUGAUUCAGCGGCGGACGGGUGAGUAAUGCCUAGGAAUCUGCCUGGUAGUGGGGGACAACGUUUCGAAAGGAACGCUAAUACCGCAUACGUCCUACGGGAGAAAGCAGGGGACCUUCGGGCCUUGCGCUAUCAGAUGAGCCUAGGUCGGAUUAGCUAGUUGGUGGGGUAAUGGCUCACCAAGGCGACGAUCCGUAACUGGUCUGAGAGGAUGAUCAGUCACACUGGAACUGAGACACGGUCCAGACUCCUACGGGAGGCAGCAGUGGGGAAUAUUGGACAAUGGGCUAAAGCCUGAUCCAGCCAUGCCGCGUGUGUGAGGAAGGUCUUCGGAUUGUAAAGCACUUUAAGUUGGGAGGAAGGGCAGUAAGUUAAUACCUUGCUGUUUUGACGUUACCGACAGAAUAAGCACCGGCUAACUCUGUGCCAGCAGCCGCCGUAA
rnacentral:rRNA from 1 species